UAGGGAAUUUUGCGCAAUGGGCGAAAGCCUGACGCAGCAACACCGCGUGAAUGUUAAGCCCUUCGGGGUGUAAAGUUCUGUCAGUAGGGAAGAAUAAAUGACUGUACCUACAAAGGAAGCACCGGCUAACUCCGUGCCAGCAGCCGCGGUAAUACGGGGGGUGCAAGCGUUGUCCGGAAUCAUUGGGCGUAAAGCGUUCGUAGGCGGUAAAGUAAGUCAGAUGUUAAAGCCCGGGGCUCAACUCCGGUUCGGCAUUUGAUACUACUUAACUGGAAUGCGGUAGAGGUAAAGGGAAUUCCUGGU
rnacentral:rRNA from 1 species